rnacentral:rRNA from 1 species
AUGGCGGCCACCCUCAAGCUCACGAUCCUCGCCGCCGCCGUCGUGGCCUCGUCCGUGGUGGGCGUGGCCAUGGCUGCCGAGGCGCCGGCUCCCGGCCCGGCCACCGGAGCCGCGGCGACCACCCCGUCCUUCGCCGUCGGGACGCUCGUCGCCGCCGCCGUUGGGUACCUCUUCUGCUGA